rnacentral:lncRNA from 1 species
UAGCCUUGAUUUCUUUUCAUUUCCAGGUGUGACAAAUGAUUAAGAAUGGAACCCCAGGAUUCAGAACUUCUGGUGAAAAUCAGCAAGAGGAAAAUAACAAUCUGGUUUUAAACUGUGUCCAGUCUUGAGCAGGAGCUUCACAAUGGGACACAGAUGAGGUAAGGUCCUGUGGCCCCCCACAGCCCGACAGUAGAGGUGAGCUUUGCAGGAGCACAGCCAGGCCCAUUCAGCCACAUGUGACGGUGACUGCGACUGCUCUACAUCACCUGUGGAUCUGAGAGUAGGGACAAGACCACAUGGCCCACAGAGCCAAGGAUAUUUACUCUCAAAUCCUUUACAGAGGAAUUUGCUAGUCCCUGCAACAGAAGAUAUCCAGGUGACUGACCCUCACAUGAAAAAGUGCUCCAAUGUGAUGAGCCACCGUAAAAAGAAAGGCUGGACCCUAGAAGGACCCAUUCACCCUCCUUGGCCCGACAGCAGGCCUGGAGCACUAGUGGCUCCAGUGUAAACUGACCGUUUACAAACAGCUCGGAGUGUGCCGUGCUCACCACACCUGUCUCUGUGGCUCAGCAGUUCCUGGGUAGAUGGACAUUCAAGGAGGGUGAGGGUCUCGGGCAGCAGGAGACAUGGGGGGAAUGACCUUAGCACCUGGGCUUGUAACAGCCCCACACCUGACAUCACCCAGAUGUCCACCAUCAGGGGAACGGAUUAAAUAAAGUGUGAUAUGUGUACACGAGCGAACGGCAGAUAGCAACGAGAAAAUAAAUCUUUGUUUCUUGCAAGAACAUCUCACAGAAUUAAUGUGGACAAAAGAAAGCAGGCCCUGGAGAGAGCGUAGUGUGCUACAGCUUCCACAUGAAGUUCAGUAACAUGUAGGAGUUAGCAUGGCAGCUAGCUGCAGGACGGCAGGAUUAAG